rnacentral:rRNA from 1 species
UACGAAGGGGGCUAGCGUUGUUCGGAAUUACUGGGCGUAAGGGCGCGUAGGCGGCGUGUCAAGUCAGGCGUGAAAGCCCCGGGCUCAACCUGGGAACCGCGCUUGAGACUGGCAUGCUCGAGUUCGGGAGAGGAUGGUGGAAUUCCCAGUGUAGAGGUGAAAUUCGUAGAUAUUGGGAAGAACACCGAUGGCGAAGGCAGCCAUCUGGACCGACACUGACGCUGAGGCGCGAAAGCGUGGGGAGCAAACAGG